UUAUGGCCAUAUCACGUUGAAACACCGGUUCUCGUAAGAUCAACGAUGAUAAGCAACGUCGAGCUUGAUGAGUACCUAGAUGACAGACCACUUGCGAAUACCAGAUGCUGUU